CAGCAGCUUACCAUCAAAAGAGAGAGAAUGUUCCAAACUUUCUAAAACAACCAGGACUGCCCAAUGUGGACAUUCUGGAUUGGUACAGUCCUCAAGCUCUGACACCGACACCAUUCUUACCUCAGAGGCCUCACUGGAAGGCCACAAUGGGUAGAAAAUGAGCACAGUCUCUGCAGACAUCAGCAAGCUCAUCCCCACCUACACUUAGACGAAGAACGCUAGGCACUUGAAUGAACUCUCAGGUCAUAUAAUAACCCCUCUCCUUCACUCUCCUUAGGUUGAACAAGAACUUUCUGCCCAGUUCAAUGUAUGCCUAGCCUUCUCAUUUAGAUGCCACAUGAAGGUCCGGGUAUCGGGGUUCUCAAUCCCUACUCUACAGUAUGUUUAACUCUGCUUUGCCCGCAGGGGAACUACGCAGGCUAGAUAAUGCAGUUUAUAAUGUUGAUGUUGUUUUUAUUUUCAGCCCCUGACGAAGGUGCACUACUAUAGCACCGAAACGCGCGUCGGGUUGAAGGAUUUUUUCCUUCACUUUUUCACUCUUUCUCACUUAUAGGGCACUG